GACGAACGCUGGCGGCGUGCUUAACACAUGCAAGUCGAACGGAAAGGCCCUGCUUUUGUGGGGUGCUCGAGUGGCGAACGGGUGAGUAACACGUGAGUAACCUGCCCUUGACUUUGGGAUAACUUCAGGAAACUGGGGCUAAUACCGGAUAGGAGCUCCUGCUGCAUGGUGGGGGUUGGAAAGUUUCGGCGGUUGGGGAUGGACUCGCGGAUUAUCAGCUUGUUGGUGGGGUAGUGGCUUACCAAGGCUUUGACGGGUAGCCGGCCUGAGAGGGUGACCGGCCACAUUGGGACUGAGAUACGGCCCGGACUCCUACGGGAGGCAGCAGUGGGGAAUAUUGCACAAUGGGCGGAAGCCUGAUGCAGCAACGCCGCGUGCGGGAUGACGGCCUUCGGGUUGUAAACCGCUUUCGCCUGUGACGAAGCGUGAGUGACGGUAAUGGGUAAAGAAGCACCGGCUAACUACGUG
rnacentral:rRNA from 1 species